CUACGGGGUGCAGCAGUGGGGAAUAUUGGACAAUGGGCGAAAGCCUGAUCCAGCCAUGCCGCGUGUGUGAAGAAGGCCUUCGGGUUGUAAAGCACUUUCAGUGGGGAAGAAAGCCUUGGGGCUAAUACCCUCGAGGAAGGACAUCACCCACAGAAGAAGCACCGGCUAACUCCGUGCCAGCAGCCGCGGUAAUACGGAGGGUGCGAGCGUUAAUCGGAAUUACUGGGCGUAAAGCGCGCGUAGGCGGUCUGAUAAGCCGGUUGUGAAAGCCCCGGGCUCAACCUGGGAACGGCAUCCGGAACUGUCAGGCUAGAGUGCAGGAGAGGAAGGUAGAAUUCCCGGUGUAGCGGUGAAAUGCGUAGAGAUCGGGAGGAAUACCAGUGGCGAAGGCGGCCUUCUGGACUGACACUGACGCUGAGGUGCGAAAGCGUGGGUAGCAAACAGGAUUAGAUACCCUUGUAGUC
rnacentral:rRNA from 1 species